GACGAACGCUGGCGGCGUGCCUAAUACAUGCAAGUUGAGCGCUGAAGGUUGGUACUUGUACCAACUGAAUGAGCAGCGAACGGGUGAGUAACGCGUGGGGAAUCUGCCUUUGAGCGGGGGACAACAUUUGGAAACGAAUGCUAAUACCGCAUAAAAACUUUAAACACAAGUUUUAAGUUUGAAAGAUGCAAUUGCAUCACUCAAAGAUGAUCCCGCGUUGUAUUAGCUAGUUGGUGAGGUAAAGGCUCACCAAGGCGAUGAUACAUAGCCGACCUGAGAGGGUGAUCGGCCACAUUGGGACUGAGACACGGCCCAAACUCCUACGGGGGGCAGCAGUAGGGAAUCUUCGGCAAGGGACGAAAGUCUGACCGAGCAACGCCGCGUGAGUGAAGAAGGUUUUCGGAUCGUAAAACUCUGUUGGUAGAGAAGAACGUUGGUGAGAGUGGAAAGCUCAUCAAGUGACGGUAACUACCCAGAAAGGGACGACUAACUACGUG
rnacentral:rRNA from 1 species